rnacentral:lncRNA from 1 species
GAAUGGAUCAUGCCUAUCGCUCAUCUGCUGUGUGCUGCUGGGCAUGGUGCAGUUGGCUGGUCUGCAAGCCUGUCCAUAUGCUUUGCUGAGAGUGAUUUCUGCUGUCCCUGUGAGGAGAAAACUUUGUCCAAGGAGCAACAGCAGCCACUGGAGUAUGGAAAAUCACAGAAGGAAGUGGAUAGGUCCCAAUUGCCUUGGUGCUGACUCCAGUUGGCUGAGGCUAGAAGAGAGCAGAUCUAGUGUGUUUCCUGCUGAGCAGACCUUGGUAAAGCAAUGACACAGAUCUUCUGCAGAAAAGGAAGAGCCUGGGUGGAAAUUAAUGCAGAAGUGACAGACACAGCUGGAACUGUCUGUGAAAAGCAACCCAACCAUCUCUUCAAACACUUGGGACCAAGGGCGAUCUUCGAGGCUUCAUUAUUACACCGUUUCAGGAGCCUUCCUCUCCCCCGGGGCUGGCUCUGCUCGGAGCGCUCUCACGCAGGAAGCAGGAGAGGCCGAGGUUGCUCAGGCUGCUCGUCUCACACGGAGAGCACCACAGGGAGGACGAGGGCUCAGCAGGUGACCGGACUUCGCCGCCAACUCUGCACCACAAGGUUGCUCGAAGCCAGCUCUGCCCCACUGACCACGCUGAAUCCGAGCUCUGGGGCACACAGCCCCGCGUCUAUCAGCUGUGGAGGGGAGCACACACCCCCAGAGCAGGCGAAUUUCUCUGCAAGCAAGGAGCAAGAUCCCUCCCUGCCCUAGGUGAGUGCACUUCCCUGCUGACACAGGCUCGCCGAGACGUGCGUGCCUCCUCCUGCGGCUGGGCUGUGGGCAGCUCUGCUGGCCAGCACGCGAGGGUUAUUACCUUGCACUCCUGCACUGCAGCGUGGUGAUGGCUGCAAUUUAUCAGCCUAUUCCCUGGUGGACUGGAUUUGACCCGAGCGCUGGAGUUGUCUCGGUGCUUCCAACCCGCUCCUAUCACGUGGUGCCCACGCCAGCUUUCCUGGAAGGCAGGCUGAUCUGGCGGGAACUGCCUGACACGUCGCCAUCAGUGCAUAAUAACCUGCAUUAAAAAAAAAAAAAGAGAAAAAAGGGAAAAAAAAGACACACAACUUUCUGCACACGAUCCCACGGUAACCCUGGCAAUAUGGGCAGUACCGUCCAGAGAGCUUUCUCCUCUGGAAGGGGGGAGUUAAUGGGUUUAGAUUAUUUGUGGUUAUCUGGAUUUCAGAUUGACACCAUAAAUAUUCAAACUCUGAACCUGGCUGGAUGCAGCCGCCGCUGACUUUUGUAUGACCUAGCUGGAAACUUUAAAUCAGCUGUCGACUUGACUUUCAAGGGAAUGAACUGCUCCAAAUCCACUAGAUAGCAUCUCCUUGGUGUUUUAUUACCUCCCGAGAACCUCACUUGGGUAGGGUCCCAACUCCAGCCUCCUCUCAGAAAGCAGAGCUUUGUUAGCCUCGCUUAAAGCCGCCGGUGGGAGCAGGGGUGCCCUACCUCGUGGCAGCACACAGGGUUAUUAAAAAAUGCACAUGAUUAAUAUACCAGCGGAGUGAGUCCAGAUGCAAGCCUAGCUGCGUGUUAUUAAUAGGCUAACAUAGAUCUCUAUCAAUGGCACUUUGUGUGCUCCAUUUUGGGUUGUUUUUUUCCUUUUUUUUUUUUAUUUUUAAGUGUUCCUUUGUCAUUCGAGAUGGUUGUGUAGGGCUUCUCUGUGGGUACUGAAUGCGUUUUGGUCCAGACUUGUGGUGUGCUCUUGUUGUGG